rnacentral:rRNA from 1 species
GGGGUCAAGAGAGGUAAGGGCGCAUGGUGGAUGCCCAGGCACCUGGAGCCGAUGAAGGACGCGGCAAGCGGCGAAACGCCCCGGGGAGCCGCAAGCGGGCAGAGAUCCGGGGAUUUCCGAAUGGGGGAACCCGCUUGAGGUAAUACUCAAGCAUCCGCUGAUGAAUCCAUAGUCAGCGGAGGGGAACCGGGCGAACUGAAACAUCUAAGUAGCCCGAGGAAAAGAAAGCAAAAGCGAUUCCCUAAGUAGCGGCGAGCGAAAGGGGAGAAGCCCAAACCUACCGCUUAGGCGGUAGGGGUUCGGGCCCACCGGAAAAGUGUGCGAGUAGUCUAGGCGAACGGACCUGGAAAGGCCGGCCAAAGAGGGUGAAAGCCCCGUAGCCGAAAGGGGAAAGCGCACAGGUGGGUACCAGAGUACCACGGGAUAGGCGACCCUGUGGGAAGGCGGGAGGACCACCUCCUAAGGCUAAAUACUCCAAGUGACCGAUAGCGCAUAGUACCGUGAGGGAAAGGUGAAAAGAACCCCGGGAGGGGAGUGAAAGAGAACCUGAAACCAUGUGCCCACAAGCAGUCA